NNNNNNNNNNNNNNNNNNNNNNNNNNNNNNNNNNNNNNNNNNGGGUGGCGGAGCCCCACAUCAGCCCCACGUCGGGGGGAUCGGAGCCCCCACCUCGGGUGUUGGAGACCCAUAUCAGCCCCGUUUUGGGGGUCAGAGCCCCACCUCGGGUGUCAGAGCCCCCACGUCGGGGGAAUCGGAGCCCCCACCACGGGUGUUGGAGACCCAGAUGAGCCCCGUUUUGGGGGUCAGAGCCCCACCUCGGGUGUCAGAGCCCCACAUCAGCUCCAGUUUGGGUAUCAGAGCCCCACCUCGGGUGUCGGAGCCCCACAUCAGCCCCACGUCGGGGGGGAUCAGAGCCCCACCUCGGGUGUCAGAGCCCCACAUCAGCCCCACGUCGGGGGUGAGAGCCCCACCUCGGGUUUCCAGAGCCCCACAUCAGCCCCACUGCCGAUAUGGGAGCUCCACCUCGGGUGUUGGAGACCCACAUGAGCCCUGUUUUGGGGGUCAGAGCCCCCCCUCGGGUGUCAGAGCCCCACAUCAGCCCCACGUCGGGGAUCAGAGCCCCACCGCCGGUAUGGGAGCCCCACCUCUGGUGUCGGAGCCCCACAUCAGCCCCACGUCGGGGGUCAGAGCCCCACCUCGGGUGUAAGAGCCCCAUAUCAGCCCCACGUCAGGGAUCAGAGCCCCACCUCGGGGCGUUGGAGCCCCACAUCAACCCCAAUUUGGGUGUCAGAGCCCCACCUCGGGUGUCAGAGCCCCACAUCAGCCCCACAUCGGGGGCAUCAGAGCCCCGCCGCCGGUAUGGGAGCCCCACGUCGGGGGUCAGAGCCCCACCUUGGAUGUCAGAGCCCCACAUCAGCCCCAUUUUGGGUAUCAGAGCCCCACCUCGGAUGUCAGAGCCCCACAUCAGCCCCACGUUGGGGAUCAGAGCCCCACCUCGGGGCAUCAGAGCCCCACAUCAGCCCCACUUUGGGUGUCAGAGCCCCCCCUCGGGUGUCAGAGCCCCACAUCAGCCCCUUAGCCAUCACCGGGUACCGCAGCCCCGCGUCGGGUAUUGGAGCCCCACCUCGGGGUGUUGGAGCCCCACAUCAGCCCCACGUCAGGUAUCAGAGCCCAGCACUGGGUGCCCAGAGCCCCACAUCAGCCCCAUAUUGGGCAUCGGGGGGGCCUGCAUUGGGCAUUGGACCCCAUCGCUGCAGAUCUCAGCCCCAUGGCAGCCCCAUAUCCGUCACCGGGUCCCAGAGCCCCACACCAGGUAUCACAGGGCGGGCAUCGUUGCCCCAUAUCGGGGACCCCUGGUCCCACGCCGGGCAUCGCUGCCCGCUGGGGGGCAUGGCAUGGGGGUGCCCCCACCACUCCCCGGCUUGGGUUUGCACCAGUGGAACAAAAAAGGUCCCCCCCCUCAGAGCCCCACAUCAGCCCCAGUUUGGGUGUCAGAGCCCCACCUCGGGUGUCAGAGCCCCACAUCAGCCCCACAUCGGGGGCAUCAGAGCCCCGCCGCCGGUAUGGGAGCCCCACGUCGGGGGUCAGAGCCCCACCUUGGAUGUCAGAGCCCCACAUCAGCCCCAUUUUGGGUAUCAGAGCCCCACCUCGGAUGUCAGAGCCCCACAUCAGCCCCACGUUGGGGAUCAGAGCCCCACCUCGGGGCAUCAGAGCCCCACAUCAACCCCACUUUGGGUGUCAGAGCUCCCCCUCGGGUGUCAGAGCCCCACAUCAGCCCCACGUUGGGGAUCAGAGCCCCACCUCGGGGCAUCAGAGCCCCACAUCAACCCCACUUUGGGU
rnacentral:lncRNA from 1 species